AAGCGAAACUCCGUCCCCACGGCGUCUGACUAGCAUGGCGGCUAGGCACUGAUGAGCAGCCUACU
rnacentral:hammerhead_ribozyme from 1 species